UACGUAGGUGGCGAGCGUUGUCCGGAUUUACUGGGCGUAAAGGGAGCGUAGGCGGACUUUUAAGUGAGAUGUGAAAUACUCGGGCUCAACUUGAGUGCUGCAUUUCAAACUGGAAGUCUAGAGUGCAGGAGAGGAGAAUGGAAUUCCUAGUGUAGCGGUGAAAUGCGUAGAGAUUAGGAAGAACACCAGUGGCGAAGGCGAUUCUCUGGACAGUAACUGACGCUGAGGCUCGAAAGCGUGGGGAGCAAACAGG
rnacentral:rRNA from 1 species